rnacentral:rRNA from 1 species
ACUUAAGCAUAUCAAUAAGCGGAGGAAAAGAAACCAACAGGGAUUGCCCUAGUAACGGCGAGUGAAGCGGCAACAGCUCAAAUUUGAAAUCUGGCUUCGGCCCGAGUUGUAAUUUGUAGAGGAUGUUUUGGGCGCAGUGCCUUCCGAGUUCCCUGGAACGGGACGCCACAGAGGGUGAGAGCCCCGUAUGGUUGGAUGCUAAGCCUGUGUAAAACGCCUUCGACGAGUCGAGUAGUUUGGGAAUGCUGCUCUAAAUGGGAGGUAAAUUUCUUCUAAAGCUAAAUAUUGGCCAGAGACCGAUAGCGCACAAGUAGAGUGAUCGAAAGAUGAAAAGCACUUUGAAAAGAGGGUUAAACAGCACGUGAAAUUGUUGAAAGGGAAGCGCUUGUGACCAGACUUGUGCCUUGUGGAUCAUCCGGCGUUCUCGCCGGUGCACUCCGCCUGGUUCAGGCCAGCAUCGGUUUUUUCGGGGGGACAAAAGCUUCUGGAACGUAGCUCUUCGGAGUGUUAUAGCCAGUUGUAUAAUACCCCCGAGGGGACCGAGGUUCGCGCUCUGCAAGGAUGCUGGCGUAAUGGUCAUCAGCGACCCGUCUUGAAACACGGACCAAGGAGUCGUCCAUUAUAGCGAGUGUUUGGGUGUUAAACCCGCCCGCGUAAUGAAAGUGAACGUAGGUGAAGAAGCUUCGGCGCAUCAUCGACCGAUCCUGAUGUAUUCGGAUGGAUUUGAGUAAGAGCUAUACUGGACGGACCCGAAAGAUGGUGAACUAUGCCUGAAUAGGGUGAAGCCAGAGGAAACUCUGGUGGAGGCUCGCAGCGGUUCUGACGUGCAAAUCGAUCGUCAAAUUUGGGCAUGGGGGCGAAAGACUAAUCGAACCAUCUAGUAGCUGGUUACCGCCGAAGUUUCCCUCAGGAUAGCAGUGUUGUUUUCAGUUUUAUGAGGUAAAGCGAAUGAUUAGGGACUCGGGGGCGAUUUUUAGCCUUCAUCCAUUCUCAAACUUUAAAUAUGUAAGAAGCCCUUGUUACUUAAUUGAACGUGGGCAUUCGAAUGUAUCAACACUAGUGGGCCAUUUUUGGUAAGC